GCGCACCAGUCGAGAAUUUUUGACAAUGGGGGAAACCCUGAUCGAGCGACGCCGCGUGGAGGAUGAAGGUCUUCGGAUUGUAAACUCCUGUCAUUGGGGAACAAGGUGCAUACGUUAACUGCGUGUGUAUUGAUAGUACCCGAAGAGGAAGGGACGGCUAACUCUGUGCCAGCAGCCGCGGUAAUACAGAGGUCCCAAGCGUUGUUCGGAUUCAUUGGGCGUAAAGGGUGCGUAGGCGGCGCGGUAAGUCGGGUGUGAAAUCUCGGAGCUUAACUCCGAAACUGCAUUCGAUACUGCCGUGCUUGAGGACUGGAGAGGAGACUGGAAUUUACGGUGUAGCGGUGAAAUGCGUAGAUAUCGUAAGGAAGACCAGUGGCGAAGGCGGGUCUCUGGACAGUUCCUGACGCUGAGGCACGAAGGCCAGGGGAGCAAACGGGAUUAGAUACCCCGGUAGU
rnacentral:rRNA from 1 species